rnacentral:rRNA from 1 species
UACGUAGGGCGCAAGCGUUGUCCGGAAUUAUUGGGCGUAAAGAGCUCGUAGGCGGUUUGUCGCGUCUGCUGUGAAAACCUCAGGCUCAACCUGGGGCUUGCAGUGGGUACGGGCAGACUAGAGUGCGGUAGGGGUGACUGGAAUUCCUGGUGUAGCGGUGGAAUGCGCAGAUAUCAGGAGGAACACCGAUGGCGAAGGCAGGUCUCUGGGCAUUAAACUGACGCUGGAGGAAGCGAAAAGCAUGGGGAGCGAACAGG